UGCUUGCACAGCAGGGAACAAGGAUGGGCCAAGCUGGGACAGAAGAGCACUGGAUGUCUGUGUGAUUCUCAGAAUGCAGUGAGGUGAGGGCUCUGUGACCUCACAGGAUAAAUCUGCGCCCUAGCAACAGCAGUGGACGUGGCCUGAGCACAACUCAGAGUUCAGCGAGGAGGGCUGGGAGUCAAACCCAUGUGUCUGGAAAAGCUGACCAUAGACAAAGGCUAAUGGGAACGUACUUUUGGACACACCUGGACUCUACUUCAUCAAGCCUGAAGAUAAACAGAGGUGGUUCAAGUUCCUAUGAUGUCGUGAGUAUCCUGAACUGUCCAGGAGAGCCUAGAAUGGCCAUCCAGACUCUCAGAAAUGAAGACUCUACCCCUGCUGCAACGUACAUGAGAGUAUUGAGCAAGAGAGGGUGUUCACGAGGUACUAGGACUGGAGGACUCCUUCCGAGAUGAGAUGCUCAGGAUCCUGAGCAGAGACAAAAGAGGGCAGAGAUGAAACCACAGAUCUUCAAUGACCCAACCUUGAAAGCCAUAUACUUCUGCUGCUGACUGUCCUGUCCUUGGCAUUGUGCAUGAUACCAUCCAAGGACUUGGGGAUCACUGGAAGUCAUUCUGAAGCCUCACUGUUUUUCUUGUUUGGAGGAGAAGAAAUCAUGACUAAGUCCAUGAUGAGUCUGUAAUUUUGUUUCAACUCUCUGUAUUUUGUUUACUUUUCCCAGGGUGUCAUUAUCAAUCAAUGACUGCGAGAAACCAGUCACAGUCACAUUUACCCUCCUAGCCACUCCUCUCUGUUCAAAGGUU